rnacentral:rRNA from 1 species
CAGUAGCCGCGGUAAUACGGAGGGUGCAAGCGUUAAUCGGAAUUACUGGGCGUAAAGCGCACGCAGGCGGUUUGUUAAGUCAGAUGUGAAAUCCCCGGGCUCAACCUGGGAACUGCAUCUGAUACUGGCAAGCUUGAGUCUCGUAGAGGGGGGUAGAAUUCCAGGUGUAGCGGUGAAAUGCGUAGAGAUCUGGAGGAAUACCGGUGGCGAAGGCGGCCCCCUGGACGAAGACUGACGCUCAGGUGCGAAAGCGUGGGGAGCAAACAGGAUUAGAGACCCCAGUAGUCCCUGUCUCUUAUAC